UCACAAUAUAUUUUUCAGCUGAAUUCUGAUUUAUCUAAUAUUCUGAAGACAUUUUUCUGCUAUUUCACGCGUCGCGCCUCCGGGUAUCCGACCGCAAACUUGCAUGUGUAUUCGUUUAUUUUUAAUGAGAUGAGAAAAUGCAAUGUAGAUACACAAAAAGUAGGUAGAUAAAGUAAACGAAUAUUAAUUUUACAUUUAAAUUAGGUACACGGUCACCUAUUUAUAACUAUACAUAAGUAGCUAUAUACCUAUUAAAUCUGUUCAUUAAUAAUUCAUAAUAAGAUGGAUAAACAGUGAAUUCGUGUAAUAAACUACAAACAAAUGUUAAAAGAAAAAGUAAUUGAAAACUAAAUAAUUCAUUUGGUUAAAAACAUUUUAAAUAUUCAAGUUUCAAUCUAGCAGAAUUGUAUAGGCAUAAUUAGGUAAGUAAAACAGUAACAUUUUACAUUGUUGAUACUUAAAAUUUACAAUCAUUUUCAGAAUUUAAAUUUGAUCCAAAAUAAAACAUAUAAGCACCAAUUUUAUGAGAAAUUAAAAAUUAACAAAAAGAGCUGAUAUCUACUGGGGAUGGGUGCGCCACUGUUGUACGUGGGAAGACGCCAAGGUAAGAUACACAAAGUUGUUUAAUUUGUAGCUGUAAGUAACAAUAAACCAUAGUUAACAAAAACGAUUCGGAGCGAA